CUUAGAAUUAUCUAUGAUUUUCUUUACUGUUGCAUUAUUCAGCCAUAGGAUAAUAUUAUAAUUCUUCAUAUCCAAAAUCUUUUGCUCAAUCAUAUACCAUUCUUCUGAUCUAGAUGGGAAUGAAUGUAUAGCGUGUAAAUGCAACAUUGCAUAUGUUCGACUAAAAACCCACAUGUUGGGAAAACCCAUUCCCCCACUAGAUUUAUCAUCAUAAAGGACCUUUUUUGAGAUUCUUGGUUUCUUGUUUAGCCAUAUAAAUUUUUCUACUGCCAUUUGAAAUUGUAUACAAAAAAAGGAAGGAAGUUGAAGAGGGAUUAAUCUCAAGUUAUAAAGCCAUCUAGGUAAUAUGUAGGAUUUAAUAAUAUUAAGUUUGCCCAUCCAUGAUAUGGGCAAUUCUCCCAGUUUUUUAAAAAGGUCAUUUAAUAGAUCUUGAUAAUUCAAAUCAAUUAUAUGUGAAAGGUCCUUUGCGAUUUUUAUCCCCAAGUAAUCAAUACACUUAUCUUUCCACAUACAUUGAAAUUUAUACCUAGGUAUGCUCAUUCUAUCUUCAUUGAUUCCUACUCCCAUUGCUUGUGAUUUAUUGAUAUUAAGUUUGUAAUUAGAGUAAUCCCCGUAUAUUUUGAUCUCUUUUAAGAGAGCAUCUAUCGAGGUUUCAGGCUGGGUUAAUAUCAGCAGAAUAUCAUCCGUAUAGAGACUAGCUUUAUUCAUGGUAUCACCAAUAGAGAUGCCCAUAAUUUCUUUAUUAUUCCUGAUUCUUGCUGCCAGAGGUCCUCGGGUCAUGAUGUUAAAAAAAAGGGGCCAAAGGGCAACCCUGUCUGGUACCAUUCCUAACUUUGAACCAGUGGGAGGAAAAGCCUUUCCCACUAUCUUAGCUGUCGGUUCAGAAUACAAGGCCAUAAUACAUUUUAUUAUUUUAUCACCAAAAUUAAAACUUUAAGAAUUGUCUCCAAGAAAGCCCAGUCCACCCGAUCAAAUGCCUUUUCCGCAUCCAGAGAGAGAGUUACCAUAGAGAUAUUAUUAUUCAGGGCGAAAUCUACUAUAUCUAUGAUUUUUCUUGUGUUACCAUAUGGUUGGCGUCCACUAACAAACCCGACUUGAUUUUUAUGAAUUAUAAGUGAUAUUACCUUUUUAAUUGUCAGCUAAAAUUGCAGAAAUUUUUUUAUAUCACUAUUAAUUAAAGAAACAGGUCUGUAAUUAGAUACCAGCUUCACAUCUUUCCCUUGUUUGGGAAUUGGAAUAAUGAUUGCUUGGAGCAAUUCGCUAGGGAAUGGUUUAUUUUCC